GCUGGGCGUGGUGGCGCAUGCCUGUAGUCCCAGCUACUCAGGAGGCUGAGGUGGGAGGAUUGCUUGAGCCUGGGAGUUUGAGGCUGCAGUGACAGGUGAUCACACCACUGCAUUCCAGCCUAGGUGACAGGGCAAGACCCUGUCUCAA
ensembl:misc_RNA Metazoa_SRP Metazoan signal recognition particle RNA